CCCUUAGAUGUUCUGGGCCGCACGCGCGCUACACUGAUGCAUUCAACAAGCCUAGCCUUGACCGAGAGGUCCGGGUAAUCUUUGAAACUGCAUCGUGAUGGGGCUAGAUUAUUGCAAUUAUUAGUCUUCAACGAGGAAUGCCUAGUAAGCGUGAUUCAUCAAAUCGCGUUGAUUACGUCCCUGCCCUUUGUACACACCGCCCGUCGCUCCUACCGAUUGAAUGUGUUGGUGAGGAGCUCGGAUUGGCAGCAGUUGGUGGUUCGCCACCGGCUAUUGCUGAGAAGUCCUCCAAACCGCCCCAUUUAGAGGAAGGAGAAGUCGUAACA
rnacentral:rRNA from 1 species